AGGGCCGGGCCUGACAUAUGUAGGCCCAGAAGCAACCAAAAUUUAUUUGGCCCUACAAUAACUCUUUUUAAAAAAAUCGUUGCUAGUUUGUUGUAUAUGCGUUUCGAACUCAGUCCCCUAGGUUAAUUAGCAACCAAAUUUUGCCAUCUGAACUAUCAGACAUUUGAUGUAAUUGGCCCCUAAAUUAGUUUUAACACUAUCGGCCCUCAAGCUAAUGCUUGAUGAGCUUGUGCUCAGGCCCGCCCCUG
rnacentral:lncRNA from 1 species